GACGAACGCUGGCGGCGCGCCUAACACAUGCAAGUCGAACGAGAGAGAGGAAGCUUGCUUCCUUAAUCGAGUGGCGGACGGGUGAGUAACGCGUGGGUAACCUGCCCUGUACAGGGGGAUAACAGCCGGAAAUGGCUGCUAAUACCGCAUAAGCGCACUGAUGGUAGCAUUACCAGGUGUGAAAAACUCCGGUGGUACAGGAUGGGCCCGUGUCUGAUUAGCUUGUUGGCGAGGUAAGAGCCCACCAAGGCGACGAUCAGUAGCCGGUCUGAGAGGAUGAACGGCCACAUUGGAACUGAGACACGGUCCAA
rnacentral:rRNA from 1 species